GUAAAUGCGAGGUUGUGCUCCGUGGAGCGGCAGUCGGCAGUCAGGGGUUGACUCCUGGCUCGUGCAGCAUCACGGUGGAUCCCGUGGGGAAGAAGCCGCUCAGAGGGUGUGACCUGCACUAUACACACUUAGCAUGGAAAGGUGAAUGACUACAACGCGGCCACACGCCAAGCUGCAGACAGGCCUCUCAAAGUCACGGACAAAGACUCGUUAAGAAAAUGAAGACAAAUAUCCUGGGGAGUGUGUGAUAGUCCAUCUGAUUGUUUUCUUCAACCUUUAAUACUUGCUUCUGGAGUUAAUUAAAAAAUUUAGGAAAAUGGAAUAAUUGUUUUAAUGUUGACUUAGAGAAGAAAAAAAUCUCAAUUUGAAUGUGAGGUCAAAGAACGUACUUAUACUGUGCAGCAGAGUAGUCCAAUCCCUCACGGAACGCACUUCAAGCGACACAGUAGCUCCUCGUCUGUCCUCAUGCUCAGGAACGCGACACAGAAAGGCGUCUGAGCGGGAAAUGCCGCCCUCACACCCAGGAGCUCACCUGCGCCCUGCUGUGGAGCUUCAACAUUGUGGGGGACAAAGACAGAGAGUCCUGGAUUGUCUUGUCCAGUCCGCCCCAGUCCAGCCCUCGUGCCUCCCACCAAGAUUUAUCGAGGCACCUAGUCAUCAAAUUACCUGCCUCCUCAGAGCUCCUACCCAGAGCAAAGCCCUGUUUCCUGAAACUCCCCAAAUUGCCGAAGACAAGCCAGAUCCUGGAACAGGUUCUUUCUGAUACCCUCUUGCUGAGAAGCCCCACAGUUCCCAUGGUGUGUUCUCUCUUUGAUGAGUAAUGGAUCCAACUUGUGUUCUGGUGGCAUUUGGCUGGAGGAGGACAUUAAGGUCAGGACAAGUCACAGAGACGCUGACGAUUCAUUUCUUGAUCUGACUGGCGGUCGUAUCAGUGUUCAUGUGAUAAUUCAUUCAAAUAUACACUUACGUGUUGUUCACUUUCUCACGUGUGUAAUAUUUUGUGAUAAAAAUUCUUUUUUAAAAUUCUGCUUUGGAUACAGAAAUAUAUUUCUUAGCCCAGGAAUAAAAUAUUCCCUUCAGAAAAUUUACUGGGUAAGAUCAAUCACAAAUAUCAAUAAUGAUAAUAUUUUUAAAUCCUAGAAACACAAGUCUCAUGUUUAGUCAUUAACAUAGUGGGGGAUAAAAAAGAGGUGCAACAGACCAAUAUUGCAAAAGGUAGUGACAGUUUACAUCAACACAAACAUUCUGGUCUGUUUUCUCUGGUCAAAUGCCUUUGAACUCAGACUACCAAAUUCAUUCAAAUGAAUGGGGUGAAAGGACAUGAGCACACAUGUGUUUCAAUCAGAGACAGAGACACUGAGGACUUAU
rnacentral:lncRNA from 1 species